AGGGAUGUGGCUCCGUGGUUCAGAGCCUCUGCUUUGCAUGUAGAAGGUCUCGCGGUUCGUUCCCCGGCGUCUCUG